UCCUGAAAUCUAUCUCUAAAAUGAGUGCUGAUAAGGAGAGAUGUAAGGAGGAUGUUCAGUACCAGAGAGCACCAUGUCCAGAGCCCAGCUGUGUGUCUAUGAAGAGUGAGAACUCAAUCUAUCAACCUCCUAAAUUCAGUAAUGAAGCAGUGACCUCUGACACCAGAAUGAGACAGACAGCAGCAUCUCCAGCAUCCAGCUGUGUGUCUAUGAAGAGUAAUGACUCCAUUGUUCAGCCUCCUAAUCUCUGUAAUGGAACAGUGACCUCUAACCCUGUGUGAGUAUAAACACAGUGAAAGCUGAUGAAAUGUUCUGGAUUCUUGGCUUAUGAUGUUUAAAAUAAUUAAAUUUUUUAAAAACAGUUACUUUAUCUGAUGUUUCAAUUCAUUUUUCCUAUACCAUGUGUGUACCAUGUAUGCGACAAGAAUACUUUUUGUUCACAAAGAAAACGAAAAUAAUGACUUGAUUCAACAAUUCCUCUCCUCUGUCUUUCCAAAUCAGCAUAGCACCAUUUUGUAAUUUCUGAGCAGUACGCAGGUGACGUAUGCUCUUCUGUGCCAGCACCACUGUGCUGAUGUGCUGUUUUCAUUCAAACCAAAGCGUAAAUACAUGUAAAAAAAAAAUACAUGUAAAUACAUGUCCUUGAGGCGCAGCUGACACAGAAGAGUGUAAGCCACAGGCAUACUGCUCGGAUUUGUCAAAAUGGUGCUACGUUGAUUUGGAGAGACACAGAGGAGAGGAAUUGUUGAAUAAAGUUGUUAUUUUUGUUAUCUUCAUGUACAAAAAGUAUUCUCUUUGCUUCAUAAUGUUACGGUUGAAUCACUGAUGGCAGAUGGACUAUUCUGACGAUGCUUUUCAUACUUUCCUGGACCUUGACACUGUUAUUUAUUUGGUAGUCUAUGGGACAGUCUCAAGCCUACCGGUUUUCAUCCAAAAUAUCUUAAAUUUAUAUUUUCAUUAACAACAUGCAAUGAAUGUAGCAAAAUUCAAUGGGAAUUUGAAAAUGCUCUCCAUGGCAUUUGUUGUUCACAACCUCACCUAUCAAUCAUUGCAUCAAGGCAGGUGUUGAAUUUUGUUCCCAUAAAACCACUUAGGAUUACUGUUAUAAUAUCUGUUACAUCAAAUUAGGACAUGAAAGUGACAUAUUAGCUUUUAUUCAGUUUUAUGUGAGAAUCUCAUUUGGAAUAAAAUACAAUUAGUACAAUGAAAAGUAGAGCACUAAGACAGAUAGGUGUGGUUUCAGUGUAGUCCUCAAUUUAUGAACAUGUAAAAUGACUAAUGACAGUAAAUGUGAUUGAAACUCAUAAUUCAUUUCUUUAGGGUAAUAUUAUUGCACAAAUGCUGCAGAUUACAAACUAUAAAUCAUUUUAAAUGAUCAGAAAUCGAAUAUAUUGUACUAGUUACCUAUUUAAACUUUACUUUACAUGAAAACAAACCCUGAGGUUUUCCCAUCUUUUGUAACACAUUUCAGAAUUUGGCAGAAUGUACAUCUUUUUCACCCAAUGCUUUUUAAAAGUCAGUAAAAAGCCCAACAGCAAAACCAAAUUAGAUGUAACAUUUUUGUUUUAUUCUAUAACUUACGGACAAAUUUUCUUCCAAAUUCAGAAUCAAAAUAACAAAAAAAGAUACAGUUUUCAGACCACAAAUAAUGCAAAGAAAAGUUCAUAUUGAUUUUUAACUCUGAAUUUCAAUCACAGCUUUUCUUGUGUCUCGGCAUGCUCUCCACCAGUCUUUCACAUUGCUGUUGAGUGACUUUAUGCCACUCCUAGUGCAAAAAUUCAAGUAGCUCAGCUUAGUUUUUAUGGCUUUUGGACCAUCCAUCUACCUCUUGAUCCCAUUCCAGAGGUUUUCAGGUCUGGAUAUUGGGCUGGCCAUGGCAGGAUCUUGAUCUGGUGUGCCUCCGUCCACACCUUGAUUGACCUGGCUGUGUGGCACAGAGCAUUGUCCUGCUGGAAAAACCAAUCCUCAGAGUUGGGGAACAUCGCCAGAGCAGAAGGAAGCAAGUUUUUUUCCAGCACAACCUUGAAUAUGGCUUGAUUUGUGCACCCUUCAUAAAAAAAGUACCACCAGAUCAUCACAGAUCCUCCACCAAAUUUCACAGUGGGUGUGAGACAAAGGCCUUUCCAGAUCUUUGUCUAGCCAUUAGAUGACCAGAUGUUGGGCAAAGCUGAAAAUUGUACUCAAAGAAGGUCCAAUCCUUAUGGUCUUUAGCAAAACUCAGCCUGGCUCUUCUUUGCUUCUCAUUGAUGAAUGUCUUUUUUUCUAGUUUUGCCCUGCUUCAAACAGUCCAUGCAGUGCACUUCACCCCAACUGCUGUUUUCCAUUCUUUUUGUAGAUCUCUUGAUGUCAUCCUGUGGUUGUUGAGUGACAGUCAAAUGAGUUGGUGGUCAUCCCAGUCAGUGGAGAGUCGUUUUUGCCCUCUGCCGGUCUGUUGCUUUUUUUGUCCCUAAUGUAUUCAGGUUAAACUUGUUCUUAUGAACUUCGGUCUUUAAAAAUUUUAAGGAUGGAAGCAACCUGACGCUCACUGUAUCCCUCUGCCAGUAAAGCCAGAACUGAACCCUUCUUUUCCUCACUCAAAUCUUUUCAUUUCCACUCUUUUGGGAUUUUAAUAGUUGUUAUUUGAUUCCAAUUACUUUUGAGGUACUGCUAGUGUGGCAGGACAGUAAAGCAGAGAAAAAAUCGAGAGAAAGACCACAACCUUGACUUAAAAUCUGCAAUAGUAACCCACUACACCACCUAGGGACUUCCACGCCAGGAUAUAAACAACCACUCCACAAUACAGGUUCGGUCUACCCAGAAAUGACUGAAAAAACACUGCUCCCCAAAGAGUAAAUGGUGUAUCUCUCUAGGUCCCCAAAGGGAGAACUUUCAGCACUGACAAGGAAAUACAAGUCAAAACAAAUAUACAAUUACACAAAAAUAGAAAAGAAAGAAAAGAAACUACAAAUCUAUGCAAGAUAUUAGGGUAUGUGACUAGCAGCCCUGUAAAUCACUGAAAGUACAGUAUAUCACACCAGCCAUCUUGAUCACUGUUACUCAAGAGGUUAACAAGAAAAGAAAACAACUAAAUAAACCCUUUAAUGUCCCCAAAACCAACAGCAAACAACUGACACAAAGAAACAGCCCAAAUAAUCAAACCAAAAAUCUAAUAAAGACAAUGACUGCAAUAAACACAGCAGGAACUGUAGAGACAAAACAGCAGUGCAGUCUAGGUCUGUAUGUCCUGCCAAAUAUUGACCCACUCCACGGCUCUACGCUGGACAUAAGUCGAUAGGCACUUCGCCUCAACCUGCUCAGACACUGACGUCCAUUAAACUUAAACAUUUAAAAUAUAAAACCUGGGUCAUAUUCACUGGGUCAAUCCGACUGAUAUGAAAAAAGCUAUGAGCUAUAAGCUCCUGCUAUGACAUAUCCCGCUGCCCCCGAACUGCAGGACACUGACUUUGGUUACACACAGUAUUACACCUCCCACAUAUGGAAUUCCAUUCAUUCACAUACCUGGGUUUAAACAAAGAAAGGAAUAGAAAACCCAAACCACACGACUCCACCAGGCAAGGGCAACACAAUGGAAACCGUAAGGUAUGGGAAAUUAGUUAAGUGCUCACUACAGUAGGUGGCCAUCCAAAACGUUGGUUCUACCGCCGCACGUACCGCCGCCGCCGCGUCUGCAAAGUGCAUUUGCAGCUUUUGACUGCUGAGUGGCGCUUUAAUCACAAGUUUUCAAACAAGUGCAUCAAAGCACAUUGUCACGAAUAGACGUCAGCUUUGCCUCACCGAAGUGUUAUAUUUGACUGCAGUCGGGGAAAAUGAAAGGAAAAAUAUUAUUAUAAUAUUNAUUUGCUUUGUAAUGCAUAUGCAAAAUGUGAAUUAUUAUUCAUAUUCAAGUGUUUGUGCGAAAAUUAUUACGCAUGCAUGACAUGGAGGCGCCCUCUCGGUCACAUGAUUUUUUUCCUAAUAAUGAAAUAACUGAAAAUCGGGGUGUCUCACAUACAUGAGAAAUAUAUCUACAGAAAGCUUGAAAUAUCUUUUAAACAAAUCAAUUUAACUCUCUAAAGGCACGUCCAUGUGGAGAGAGUCAGCACUGUGAAUUUCAUCUUGCAGCCAACAAGAAAACAUUUGUUUAUUAAUAAAUAAUUAAAAUGUCUCCUUUUUCACAAUUAUUAAGCUACUUCUGCCUGUGCUUUGGGGCAAACUUAAUGCAUGUGCUUGAGCGCGGAAUAUAUAAGGCUCAUUAUGGAUUAUAGAUGUUAAUUUAAUAUAAACCUGCGAUUAGUUGAAUAAUGACAAAUGAACGACUAGUAACUAGAAAAAUCUUAUGUGGGAGGCAGAUCUAUUAAACAUCCUCUAGACAUCUUUGUUAAAGUUUUUAAAGCAUUUUAUACGCGUUUGCAUAAAUUCUUCUUUCAGAAUGGUCUGUAAUGCAGAGAUGUCUUAACUCAGAUUUUAUUUUAAUUUUUUUCAUAAAAUAUGAAAUGAAAUUGAUAUUUUAUGUUUUGAGAAUGGCCAGCCCUUCUCUGCAGAUAUUGUGAUUCUGGUUUGUGCAUUUUAAAUCACAUAAAAUCUACAAAAUAUAAAAAAACUCUUGUUUUUUGUUACGUCUGUAAAAAAAAAGCCUAUAAAACAUUCAUGUUCAUAAACGGAUACUUUACUGAUGUCUGGAUGUUUGGGAUUUAGAAAACUUCAAUAUUGGUCAUGCAUAAGCUACAAUCUGUGAAAAUUUAUAUUUCACACAAAAAUAUUGUAUGGACGCAACAAAAUAAAACCGCAGACGCUCCACUCAGGGCUCCCGUAGUUCUGAUUGGGCUCAACCCUCCCCCGCGCGUUUGAGAUACGCUGCCGAGCAGAGUAUGAGCGGAGCGGUGUUAUUCUGCCUGGAGCGAGGAGCGGAUUUUUUAAAAGUCGGAGCGUCUGGUUUUCACUCGCUCCAAGAGCGCUCCAGCACCACUCCAUCACGAGUACAAUUCAUGCCAACAGCCCGUAAUAUAACUGCAUAUUUAGCAAGAAUUCACAUGAUAAACAUAUUUAGCUAUAGCUUGAUAGAAUACACAUAAUCUCUCCGAUCAGAAGGUUAUAAUGACGGCAAUAGUCAAGCGGGAUUUUACAGGCUAGUUAUCAAGAAAUUUGUCUUCCUUUUACUGAUUAU
rnacentral:lncRNA from 12 species